rnacentral:rRNA from 1 species
AGAGUGAACGCUGGCGGUAGGCCUAACACAUGCAAGUCGAACGGCAGCACAGUGGUAGCAAUACCAUGGGUGGCGAGUGGCGGACGGGUGAGGAAUACAUCGGAAUCUACCUUUUCGUGGGGGAUAACGUAGGGAAACUUACGCUAAUACCGCAUACGCCCUUCGGGGGAAAGCCGGGGAUCGCAAGACCUGGCGCGGAUAGAUGAGCCGAUGUCGGAUUAGCUAGUUGGUGAGGUAAUGGCUCACCAAGGCGACGAUCCGUAGCUGGUCUGAGAGGAUGAUCAGCCACACUGGAACUGAGACACGGUCCAGACUCCUACGGGAGGCAGCAGUGGGAAUAUUGGACAAUGGGCGCAAGCCUGAUCCAGCCAUACCGCGUGGGUGAAGAAGGCCUUGGUGUAAAGCCCUUUGUUGGAAGAAAAGACAAUCGGUUAAUACCGUUAGUUCGUGACGGUAACCAAAGAAUAAGACACCGGCUAACUUCGUAGCCAGCAGCCGCGUAAUC